rnacentral:rRNA from 1 species
AUUGAACGCUGGCGGCAUGCCUUACGCAUGCAAGUCGAACGGCAGCGCGGACUUCGGUCUGGCGGCGAGUGGCGAACGGGUGAGUAACAUAUCGGAACGUGCCCAGGAGUGGGGGAUAGCCCGGCGAAAGCCGGAUUAAUACCGCAUACGAUCUGUGGAUGAAAGUGGGGGACCGCAAGGCCUCACGCUCAUGGAGCGGCCGAUAACUGAUUAGCUAGUUGGUGGGGUAAAGGCCUACCAAGGCGACGAUCAGUAGCUGGUCUGAGAGGACGACCAGCCACACUGGGACUGAGACACGGCCCAGACUCCUACGGGAGGCAGCAGUGGGGAAUUUUGGACAAUGGGGGCAACCCUGAUCCAGCAAUGCCGCGUGAGUGAAGAAGGCCUUCGGGUUGUAAAGCUCUUUUGUCCGGGAAGAAAACCUGCCUACUAAUACUGGGCGGGGAUGACGGUACUGGAAGAAUAAGCACCGGCUAACUACGUGCCAGCCGCCGCAGUAAUAC